UACGUAGGGUGCAAGCGUUGUCCGGAAUUAUUGGGCGUAAAGAGCUCGUAGGCGGUUUGUCGCGUCUGCUGUGAAAUCCCAGGGCUUAACCCUGGGCCUGCAGUGGGUACGGGCAAACUAGAGUGCGGUAGGGGAGAUCGGAAUUCCUGGUGUAGCGGUGGAAUGCGCAGAUAUCAGGAGGAACACCGAUGGCGAAGGCAGAUCUCUGGGCCGUAACUGACGCUGAGGAGCGAAAGCAUGGGGAGCGAACAGG
rnacentral:rRNA from 1 species